UACAGGGGGUGCAAACGUUGCUCGGAAUCAUUGGGCGUAAAGCGCACGUAGGCGGUCUGUUAUGUCGGAUGUGAAAGCCCUUGGCUCAACUGAGGAAGUGCAUCCGAAACUGGCAGGCUAGAGUACGAAAGAGGAUGCGGAAUUCCCGGUGUAGAGGUGAAAUUCGUAGAUAUCGGGAGGAACACCGGUGGCGAAGGCGGG
rnacentral:rRNA from 1 species